GUCUACUCAAGCAAGUUUCUCACGGGUGCUAAGCAGGAUACAGAGUCAGCAUAUAGAAUUGAGUAGAAUUACCAGCUUUCAAGAUGGUGAUUCAUAAGCUUUACCACUAUUUCAUUCUUUAGUUUUCCCCACUUUUUGUUGCUCUUUCAGCCUAAUUCGGAUGGUAGUAUAUUACACUACAUUGUAUUGUAAGUAGGCAAAUGAUUUGAUUGCUAAACAGUAGACAUUUUACCAACUAAUUGAAACGGAAAAGACUUGAUUUGGUACUACUCGGGUUACAGUCUGACCGGAUAGUAUAAGCAGGCCGGGUUCGGAGAAUUGUCUUAUACAAAAACCGCACCGGGCGACAAAGUAGAUUGAUUUGACGAAAAAAACUAGCUAAUUAGAGAAUUAGGUGAAUGCUCAUAUACACUAAUUUGGACAGACGUUUAAGUACAAGGGAUAUUGUUGGUAGGAAGAACAAGGAA
rnacentral:lncRNA from 1 species